GCACAAAAGAUUAAAAUGUUCAAGAAAUCACACCUGUUAAUCUUUUCCAUUAUGGAUUUUACUUAUUCAUUUUUACUUUUGGUUGUAUUUAGAGACAGGGUCUCAUUCUGCUGCCCAGGCUGGGGUGCCGUGCCAUGAUCAUAGCUCACUGUAGCCCCAUCCUGGGCUCAAAUGAUCCUCUCGUCUCAGCCUCGGUAUGAGCCACCACACCCAGCCCCAUUAUGGAUUUUAAACUUAGGGUUG
rnacentral:lncRNA from 1 species